rnacentral:tRNA from 1 species
GUCAAGAUGGCCGAGUGGUCUAAGGCGCUGCACUCAAGAAAUUCUCUUGCCUGGUUACCUGGGUUUGCAGUAUCGAAAGAUGCCUGGGUUCAAAUCCCAGUUUUGACA